GACGAACGCUGGCGGCGUGCCUAAUACAUGCAAGUAGAACGCACAGUUUAUACCGUAGCUUGCUACACCAUAGACUGUGAGUUGCGAACGGGUGAGUAACGCGUAGGUAACCUGCCUGGUAGCGGGGGAUAACUAUUGGAAACGAUAGCUAAUACCGCAUAAUAUUAAUUAUUGCAUGAUAAUUAAUUGAAAGGUGCAAUUGCACCACUACCAGAUGGACCUGCGUUGUAUUAGCUAGUAGGUGAGGUAACGGCUCACCUAGGCGACGAUACAUAGCCGACCUGAGAGGGUGAUCGGCCACACUGGGACUGAGACACGGCCCAGACUCCUACGGGAGGCGGCAGUAGGGAAUCUUCGGCAAUGGACGAAAGUCUGACCGAGCAACGCCGCGUGAGUGAAGAAGGUUUUCGGAUCGUAAAGCUCUGUUGUAAGAGAAGAACGGGUGUGAGAGUGGAAAGUUCACACUGUGACGGUAUCUUACCAGAAAGGGACGGCGAACUACGU
rnacentral:rRNA from 1 species